rnacentral:rRNA from 1 species
AUUGAACGCUGGCGGCAUGCCUAACACAUGCAAGUCGAGCGAGCGGCGGACGGGUGAGUAAUGUCUGGGAAACCGCCUGAUGGAGGGGGGUAAACACUGGAAACGGUAGCUCAUACCGCAUACCAUUAGACGUGCACAGAUGGGAUGAGCGAGUGGGUGGGGUAAUGGCUCACCUAGGCGACGAUCCCUAGCUGGUCUGAGAGGAUGACCAGCCAAACUGGAACUGAGACACGGUCCAGACUCCUACGGGAGGCAGCAGUGGGGAAUAUUGCACAAUGGGCGCAAGCCUGAUGCAGCCAUGCCGCGUGUGUGAAGAAGGCCUUCGGGUUGUAAAGCACUUUCAGCGGGGAGGCGUUACCCGCAGAAGAAGCACCGGCUAACUCCGUGCCAGCAGCCGCGGUAAUUC